rnacentral:rRNA from 1 species
UACGUAGGGGGCAAGCGUUGUCCGGAAUCAUUGGGCGUAAAGAGCGCGUAGGCGGUCCGGUAAGUCCGCUCUGAAAGUCCGGGGCUCAACCCCGGGGAGGCGGGCGGAUACUGUCGGGCUAGAGUCCGGAAGAGGCGAGUGGAAUUCCUGGUGUAGCGGUGAAAUGCGCAGAUAUCAGGAAGAACACCCGUGGCGAAAGCGGCUCUCUGGAACGGUACUGACGCUGAGACGCGAAAGCGUGGGGAGCGAACAGG